GAUGAAGAACGUAGCGAAAUGCGAUAAGUAGUGUGAAUUGCAGAAUUCAGUGAAUCAUCGAAUCUUUGAACGCACAUUGCGCCCCUUGGUAUUCCAUGGGGCAUGCCUGUUCGAGCGUCAUUUGUACCUUCAAGCUCUGCUUGGUGUUGGGUGUUUGUCUCGCCUCUGCGUGUAGACUCGCCUCAAAACAAUUGGCAGCCGGCGUAUUGAUUUCGGAGCGUAGUACAUCUCGCGCUUUGCACUCAUAACGACGACGUCCAAAAGUACAUUUUUACACUCUUGACCUCGGAUCAGGUAGGGAUACCCGCUGAACUUAAGCAUAUCAAUAAGCGGAGGA
rnacentral:misc_RNA from 1 species